CCAGGAGAGUGCAGUCUGGGAUUUAGGAGGUCCACCCACCCUGCCAUUCAGUUAUCUAUUCAGCAGAUCUCUAUGGAGCCAGGCACCGUGCCAGGCCCUGGAGACUCAGGGGUGAGCAGACCACACUCCCUCUUCCCAGAGCUUGUAGUGUAGAAGGGAAGCUGGUGUUGACUUACCACAACAGAUGUGAAACUGUAGCUCUGUCAUGGGCUGUGCAUGAGGUCUGCUCUAGCCUGGCAGUCAGUGAAGGCUUCCCUGUGGGCAAGAUACUCAGCAGAGACCAGAAAGAGGAAUGAUGUUGAUGGAGGAAAGAAGGGUGGAAGAAUGCUCCAGAGAACAGCAUGUGCAAAGGCCCUGCAGCCAGAGAGGACACAGAUACAUGAAAAACGUAGAGAAGACUAUUGUGGCUGAGGUGAAGAAUGAAGAUGCAUACAGCGUGUAAAAGGCCUGGAGAGGCAAACCAUGCAAGAUGUGGGGCCAUGAAUCAGCAUAGUCCACUCAUGGACUAUGUGAGGGAAGCCAGCAGCUCCACGACAUCUGAGGGUUCUGUCCUCAUGUGCCUGGUUGAAGCCGGAUCCUUAGAAUAUCCAUGUCCUUCAGGGGAAGAGGACUGUCCAAG
rnacentral:lncRNA from 1 species